GAGUUUGAUCAUGGCUCAGACUGAACGCUGGCGGCAUGCCUUACACAUGCAAGUCGAACGGCAGCACGGGAGCUUGCUCCUGGUGGCGAGUGGCGAACGGGUGAGUAAUGCAUCGGAACGUAUCCUGGAGUGGGGGAUAACGUAGCGAAAGUUACGCUAAUACCGCAUAUUCUGUGAGCAGGAAAGCGGGGGACCUUCGGGCCUCGCGCUCUUGGAGCGGCCGAUGUCGGAUUAGCUAGUUGGUGAGGUAAAGGCUCACCAAGGCGACGAUCCGUAGCAGGUCUGAGAGGAUGAUCUGCCACACUGGAACUGAGACACGGUCCAGACUCCUACGGGAGGCAGCAGUGGGGAAUUUUGGACAAUGGGGGCAACCCUGAUCCAGCCAUGCCGCGUGAGUGAAGAAAGCCUUCGGGUUGUAAAGCUCUUUCGCGAGGGAAGAAAUUGCACCGGACAAUACCUGGUGUAGAUGACGGUACCUUGAUAAGAAGCACCGGCUAACUACGU
rnacentral:rRNA from 1 species